GACGAACGCUGGCGGCGUGCUUAACACAUGCAAGUCGAACGGAAAGGCCCUGCGUUUGUGGGGUGCUCGAGUGGCGAACGGGGGAGUAACACGUGAGUAACCUGCCCUUGACUUUGGGAUAACUUCAGGAAACUGGGGCUAAUAUCGGGUAGGAGCUCCUGCUGCAUGGGGGGGGUUGGAAAGUUUCGGCGGUUGGGGAUGGACUCGCGGCUUACCAGCUUGGUGGUGGGGUAGGGGCUUACCAAGGCUUUGACGGGUAGCCGGCCUGAGAGGGUGGCCGGCCUCCUUGGGCCUGCGGUACGGCCCAGUCUCCUACGGUAGGCAGCAGUGGGGAGCAUUGCACAGUGAGCCGACGCCUGAUACGACAGCCCCGCGUGCGUAAUGCCGUCCUUCGGGUUGUAAACCGCUUUCGCCUGUGACGAAGCGUGAGUGACGGUAAUGAGUAAAGAAGCACCGGCUAACUACGUG
rnacentral:rRNA from 1 species